rnacentral:tRNA from 1 species
AAAGUUUUAAGUUAAAAUAAACUAAUAGCCUUCAAAGCUAUAAAUAUAGGAUAAUCUUUUAAGCUUUA